rnacentral:rRNA from 1 species
AGUGAACGCUGGCGGUAGGCCUAACACAUGCAAGUCGAACGGCAGCACAGUAAGAGCUUGCUCUUACGGGUGGCGAGUGGCGGACGGGUGAGGAAUACAUCGGAAUCUACUUUUUCGUGGGGGAUAACGUAGGGAAACUUACGCUAACACCGCAUACGACCUACGGGUGAAAGCAGGGGAUCUUCGGACCUUGCGCGAUUGAAUGAGCCGAUGUCGGAUUAGCUAGUUGGCGGGGUAAAGGCCCACCAAGGCGACGAUCCGUAGCUGGUCUGAGAGGAUGAUCAGCCACACUGGAACUGAGACACGGUCCAGACUCCUACGGGAGGCAGCAGUGGGGAAUAUUGGACAAUGGGCGCAAGCCUGAUCCAGCCAUACCGCGUGGGUGAAGAAGGCCUUCGGGUUGUAAAGCCCUUUUGUUGGGAAAGAAAAGCAGCAGGUUAAUACCCCGCUGUUCUGACGGUACCCAAAGAAUGAGCACCGGCUAACUUCGUG